rnacentral:lncRNA from 1 species
CCUGGUUGGGAGCCGUGGACUUUGGGGGCAGGAGCACCCCCUCCCAGUACCUUGACAAUUACCCCCUUUCUCUUCUGAGUCUCAAACCUGCCUGUCCUGCACCCUGGCCUGUCCUCUGGAGGUUAUCUGAUGAGGGCCUAUUCUAAGGCAGGGAGCCUAGGCCCCAGCUUCAGCGUCAAGCCACCCAGGACAUGCAUCCAGCCUGUUGGAGAAUGGCCUGGAGAAUGCAGAGAGGCUGCAGUGGGUGGGCACCUACACCUGUCUGGGACUGGGUUGAAGUCUGGCCACAUCUCAAGGGAAUGGCCAUGAGUGUUCCCAUCACGGGAUCCCAAGGGCAGCAUCGUCAGAGCAGUGGACUGGAAGUCUGGCUGAGGGUGCUGAAUGAGCAGGUCACUCUUUGGCCCUCACUGAGCACAGCGCCAAGCUUGCUACCCACCCACCCCAAUGUCACAGAGAAGAGUCUUCCCCUGGAUCCCACCUCACCCCUCCAGCUCCCGCUUCACCAUGAGCCCAUGGAGACAUGAGCCCCAGGACAGCUCUUUCUCUGGUCUCUCUUGCAGCGAGAAGUACCUGUGGGCACACUGGAGCACAGGCCUUGAUGUCUGCAGUGCUCCGGGCAAAAGGACAAAUGGAGGCCCACACACCAGAAUCUAAAUAUUAAACAACCAUAAAUCAAGCUGCUAAUAAAAUGUGUUCCAUCCUCCUACUGAACAAAUAAGCUUUCAUAGCAGUAAAAACAUCUGUAAAUCUAUGGUUUUUAUGUCUGAAAGUCCGCAGAUAUCCAAAAUGAUGGAACUUAAUAAUUAUCACUCAUGUCCAGGUGUUCAGUGACCUGAGGUUUAAGUGAGAGAACGAAGACUUGCCUGAUGCCUAAGACAUUCUGUAUUUAUUCUGUAACAUUGAUUCUCCUCG